rnacentral:lncRNA from 1 species
GUAGAGGACUUCCAAUCAUUGAGCUUCAGAACAGUGUGUGCCAAUAGCCUGGCAGAAAUUAAAAGUGCCUCUGCUUGAACAUGUACAUUUUUACAUUUUAGUCAUUUAGCAGACGCUCUUAUCCAGAGCGAUUUACAGUAGUGAAUGCAUACAUUUCAUAAUUUUUUUUCCAGUACUGGUCCCCCGUGGGAAUUGAACCCACAACCCUGGCGUUGCAAACACCAUGCUCUACCAACUGAGCCACUCUACCAACUGAGCCACAUGGGACCGUGGCAUUCUGUACCAAGGAAUAUGCUUCUCAAUAUCCACACUCAGCUGUGAAUUUUAAGCAAACGUUUCAGAAAAUCCCACGGAAUUACUGGAACUAAAAAAUGAUUAUCUCUAGGCAGAGUUUUGCAGACUAUCAUCAAAAACACUUUGACAAAGGAUACCCCUGUGCAUCCUUGGCAAAAUGAGGUAGGUCCUCUGUCAGAAACAGCUUGAAGCACUCUGCCUCAGAUGGAGAUGACAAGGGGCUUUGCACUCGACUGGGACUCAUAAAAACCAACAGCAUGGCCAGGAUGGGUGAAAUUACUGGAGGCCUUCCAGCUACCGCAGACCUCCCGUAUUUCACUCACUGUUGAUGUGCCUCCAUCACCACCAGCAUCUUCAGAGGGACCUGGGACUUCUUCGGUGGCAAAGGGUCCUCAGAUUCAGAGUUCUCAAUGGCUACAAGGUUGGGGGGCAGCUCCUUACUCUCACUGUCAGAACCUGAUUCCUCACUGUCAUAAUCAGAAUCAUUAUCAGAAUUUACAAAAAUUUCCAGAAUUUCCAUAUUUGUAAAUUGUCUUCUUUUUAAAGACAUUGCUAAUGCUACAGCUUAGCCCACUAGCUACAUACAUAAAAAACAACACUGAAUGGCUCCAAGUGAGUGUCAGGGGCGACGUGAUUGGCUACCGGUGUGGUGAUACUGAUGAUUUGUCUCCACAAAGGGUUUGGUUAUACAGCAGGUUAGGAUAAUUAACAUGGCAGGUUAGGAUAACUAAUGCAGCAGGUUUGGUGAAUUAUAUAUACUAGGUUAAGAGAAUGAGGUUAAGGUUAGGAAAAGGGUUAGGGUUAGGCUUGUCUACAAGCUACAGUUGUCACCAACAGUUGUCCCCGACAUAACCACUAGAUGGAGCUAUUGUAGGCCUAGCUACUCCAUUGAGCCUCAACGUUAGAAACGUAAACAAACCAUCUGUGGCGACAAGUCAUCAGUAGCGUUAUCAUAACACCUGAAUGGGCCACUUGUAUCAAUAAAUCAC